GACGAACCGUGCGAACGUUAUUCGGAAUCACUGGGCUUAAAGCGCGUGUAGGCGGGCCGCCACGUCAGUUGCUGAAAUCCCCCGGCUCAACCGGGGAAGGGGCACUGAGACGAGCGGCCUGGAGGGAGGUAGGGGGGGCUGGAACUUCCGGUGGAGCGGUGAAAUGCGUUGAGAUCGGAAGGAACGCCCGUGGCGAAAGCGAGCCCCUGGACCUUUUCUGACGCUGAGACGCGAAAGCUAGGGGAGCGAACGGG
rnacentral:rRNA from 1 species